GUGUAUUGAUGUAUGACUAUGUCAAGUCUAAAUCCAACUUGAUAUGUAAAGUGUGUAAAAAUAUUUUAAAAUAUUUUAAAUGUACACCCUAAGUGUAUGUGUGUAUGUACAAAGUAAGUUUCAGCUGUGCAAAAGUCUAUCUAAAUCAGUAAAGUUUAGUGUAAUAAGUGGUUGCUAAUGUAAACAAGCUUUGUGUAUACAACUUCCGGUUCCGGUUGACCUUGACCUCACCCUGGGGGGUUGGGUAAAUAAAUGGGGAGAAAGGGGUCAAGUCUCAAUUACAAAAAAAAAAUCAAAGUACAACAUGUACAAACACAUCAUAUAUAAAUGUCUAUAUACUAUUACAACUACUGUACAAUCACUGUAUCUAAUAACUCUAAAUCAGUUAAACCAAAUCGUAAAAUUUCAAAUUUGUUUUCUGAU
rnacentral:lncRNA from 1 species